rfam:Picea glauca, whole genome shotgun sequence.
AUGUACAUGCCUACAAUGUUUAUGUACUAGAUCCCAUCAUACUAAUGCAGUUAAGCACACUUGGGAUAGAGUAGUAUUGGGAUGGGUGACCUCCCUGGAAUUCCUAUAGUUUUACAUG